rnacentral:rRNA from 1 species
AGAGUUGAUCCUGGCUCAGGAUGAACGCUGGCGGCGUGCCUAAUACAUGCAAGUCGAGCGAACACUCGGUGGGAAGCGGCGAACGGGUGAGUAACACGUAGGUGAUCUGCCCAUCAGACGGGACAACGAUUGGAAACGAUCGCUAAUACCGGAUAGGACGAAAGUUUAGAGAUGCUCCUGGCAUCACUGAUGGAUGAGCCUGCGGCGCAUUAGCUAGUUGGUGGGGUAAAGGCCUACCAAGGCGACGAUGCGUAGCCGACCUGAGAGGGUGAACGGCCACACUGGGACUGAGACACGGCCCCGACUCCUACGGGAGGCAGCAGUAGGGAAUCUUCGGCAAUGGGCGAAAGCCUGACCGAGCAACGCCGCGUGAAUGAAGAAGGCCUUCGGGUUGUAAAAUUCUGUUAUAAGGGAAGAAAGGUGAUAGGAGGAAAUGACUAUCAAUUGACGGUACCUUAUGAGAAAGCCACGGCUAACUACGUG